GGGGUCCGCGGCGUCCGCAGGCCCCAGGACAACGACGCCGGCCCAGAAGCGGCGCUCAGCGAGCAGCUCCAGCGCGCGCGCCACCAGGGCCGCCUCGGAGGGCGCUGCCUCCAGCUUGUCCAGGAUUCCUGGAAGCUUUGCUAGGAGCCAGGCAAACAAAUGAGCGGCCAGUUCUGCAGCCCCCACCCUCACCUCUGCAGGGAGUGAAGAGGGCCAGGCGAUGGCAGUAUGGGGAGGGACCCCAACAUUCCAAGAUUAGAGCCCUGGGUCCUAAUGGCCACCCCGAUUUUAAGGAAAACCUCCAGACCUGCUUCCCACGUCAGAAAAUUGGGU